AAGGAUGAAAAUCGGACUUAGUGAUCCGGUGGUUCUGCGUGGAAUGGCCAUCGCUCAACGGAUAAAAGCUACCCUGGGGAUAACAGGCUUAUCCCCCCCAAGAGUCCACAUCGACGGGGAGGUUUGGCACCGCGAUGUCGGCUCAUCACAUCCUGGGGCUGUAGUAGGUCCCCAGGGUUGGGCUGUUCGCCCAUUACAGUGGUACGCGAGCUGGGUUCAGCACGUCGUGAGACGGUUCGGUCCCUAGCCGUCGCAGGCGUAGGCAAUUUGAGAAGACCUGUCCUUAGUACGAGAGGACCG
rnacentral:rRNA from 1 species